rnacentral:rRNA from 1 species
UACGAAGGGGGCUAGCGUUGUUCGGAAUUACUGGGCGUAAAGGGCGCGUAGGCGGCUGUGCAAGUCAGGUGUGAAAGCCCUGGGCUCAACCCAGGAUGUGCACUUGAUACUGCACGGCUAGAGUGUCGGAGAGGAUGGUGGAAUUCCCAGUGUAGAGGUUGAAAUUCGUAGAUAUUGGGAAGAACACCGGUGGCGAAGGCGACCAUCUGGACGACAACUGACGCUGAGGCGGCGGAAAGCGUGGGGGACAAACAGG